rnacentral:rRNA from 1 species
UACGGGGGGGGGCAAGCGUUGUUCGGAAUUACUGGGCGUAAAGGGCUCGUAGGUGGCCAACUAAGUCAGACGUGAAAUCCCUCGGCUUAACCGGGGGAACUGCGUCUGAUACUGGAUGGCUUGAGUUUGGGAGAGGGAUGCGGAAUUCCAGGUGUAGCGGUGAAAUGCGUAGAUAUCUGGAGGAACACCGGUGGCGAAGGCGGCAUCCUGGACCGGCAUUGACGCUGAGGAGCGAAAGCCAGGGGAGCAAAGCGGG